rnacentral:rRNA from 1 species
AACGAACGCUGGCGGCAUGCCUAACACAUGCAAGUCGAACGAGACCCUCGGGUCUAGUGGCGCACGGGUGCGUAACGCGUGGGAACCUGCCCUUAGGUUCGGAAUAACUCCCCGAAAGGGGUGCUAAUACCGGAUAAUGUCUUCGGACCAAAGAUUUAUCGCCUUUGGAUGGGCCCGCGUUGGAUUAGAUAGUUGGUAGGGUAAAAGCCUACCAAGGCGACGAUCCAUAGCUGGUCUGAGAGGAUGAUCAGCCACACUGGGACUGAGACACGGCCCAGACUCCUAAGGAGGAAGCAGUGGGGAAUAUUGGACAAUGGGCGAAAGCCUGAUCCAGCAAUGCCGCGUGAGUGAUGACGGCCUUAGGGUUGUAAAGCUCUUUUACCCGGGAUGAUAAUGACAGUACCGGGAGAAUAAGCUCCGGCUAACUCCGUG